AUAUUGGAUAAUGGGGGCAACCCUGAUCCAGCCAUGCCGCGCGUGUGAAGAAGGUAUUCGGAUUGUAAAGCACUUUAAGUUGGGAGGAAGGGCUUGAGGCUAAUACCAUGAAGUUUUGACGUUACCAACAGAAUAAGCAGCGGCUACUCUGUGCCAGCAGCCGCGGUAAUACAGAGGGUGCAAGCGUUAAUCGGAAUUACUGGGUGUAAAGCGCGCGUAGGUGGUUCAGUAAGAUGGGUGUGAAAUCCCCGGGCUUAACCUGGGAACUGCUUUCAUAACUGCUGAGCUAGAGUACGGUAGAGGAUAGUGGAAUUUCCUGUGUAGCGGUGAAAUGCGUAGAUAUAGGAAGGAACACCAGUGGCGAAGGAGACUACCUGGACUGAUACUGACACUGAGGUGCGAAAGCGUGGGGAGCAAAC
rnacentral:rRNA from 1 species